rnacentral:rRNA from 1 species
GAGUACGGCCGCAAGGUUAAAACUCAAAUGAAUUGACGGGGGCCCGCACAAGCGGUGGAGCAUGUGGUUUAAUUCGAUGCAACGCGAAGAACCUUACCUGGUCUUGACAUCCACAGAACUUAGCAGAGAUGCUUUGGUGCCUUCGGGAACUGUGAGACAGGUGCUGCAUGGCUGUCGUCAGCUCGUGUUGUGAAAUGUUGGGUUAAGUCCCGCAACGAGCGCAACCCUUAUCCUUUGUUGCCAGCGGUUAGGCCGGGAACUCAAAGGAGACUGCCAGUGAUAAACUGGAGGAAGGUGGGGAUGACGUCAAGUCAUCAUGGCCCUUACGACCAGGGCUACACACGUGCUACAAUGGCGCAUACAAAGAGAAGCGACCUCGCGAGAGCAAGCGGACCUCAUAAAGUGCGUCGUAGUCCGGAUUGGAGUCUGCAACUCGACUCCAUGAAGUCGGAAUCGCUAGUAAUCGUAGAUCAGAAUGCUACGGUGAAUACGUUCCCGGGCCUUGUACACACCGCCCGUCACACCAU